CCCCGGAGUCCAGGGAGGGCUGAGCUGGUGAGGACCCCAGGAGAUGGAACCAGGGGGAGGGAGCAGGGCGGGAGGCCUGCUGGGGGGCAGUUUGGGGGAACGUGGCCUCCCGUGUGGGCUGCGUGAGCCCCUGGAUAGUUCCCGCUGGAGUCAGAGGCCCCGGGAGUCAGACCAGAUGUGGCCAGGGACCAGUGCGUGGGGAUGCAGGGUCCCUGCCGUCACCUGUGCUCACCGCUGCCCCAAAGCCAGUGGUCUGUGAGCGUCUGGCCACGCGGUCGAACUGCCCUCCACCAAAGACCUAGUGGCUCCCCGAGCCACGCUGCCAGCUUGGUCCUCCCCCACUUGCUACACCUCCUCCUGGGCCCCCGUCCUGCUGAACCACGAUCUGUGUUGCGCUGGGCCCCCCCCCCCCACAUGACCCGUGUGCACAUUAGGAUCUGAGGUGCGCUGGUCCACACCGGGAUCCGUGGGGAGCGCCGUCGGGCCCUGCCUGGCCUGCCCUCCACCCCCGUGGGCCCCUGCCUGAGACCCACAGGCCCUGCUGGCUGCCAGCUGUGGACCCGGAGCCCUCGGGGAUGGAUGGGGGGACGUGAUGGCUCAGACCCCAGACUCCAGGGAGCACAGUCCCCAGGCAGGACCGCUGGACCUGGGGUCUGCACGUGCAGGCCCUUUCGCCAGGAGCUUUCACCCAGUGUCAGGCAGCUAGAGGGCAGCUGGGCCCCUCAGAUUCAAAUCUGGGUCUGGUCCUGUGAGGAAAGCCGGGCGCUUGCUGGUCUGGAGGCACGGAGAGACUAAAGCCAUUCAGCCAGAGGUGGUGGGGCCAGCGCCGUGGGCCCGGGUGUGCCCACCAGCAGAGCCCUCCCCUUGGGGUUAGGAGGGGACACGUCCGCUCUGCUCUCUUGCCCUCCGACCCGCUGGACCCUCCUCUCCAUGCCCCGCUGCCUCUCCGAGGGCCGCUUCACCUUGUCUGUAGGGGUCGUGAGGUUUAACUCCUCUGAUGCGGUGACUCCGCUCCGUGCCUUCACCUAAAUCCUCAGCGUGGGCUGCGGGCCAUCCCCCACCUUGGGGCUUCCCACGGAGCCCCACAGCUGGGAGCAGAGUGGCCUCGAGGGGCACGCCUCCUCCAAGCCCCCAGCAGCCCUGCUCCUGGGCCCACCGCAGGCAUGGCCUACCCCCGGACGGGCCCCUGGGGGUGGUGUGGAGCACGGCGGGGUGAUGGGCCACCCCGGCUGUGGCUCCCACUCCUCCUCUCCCUCCACUGCCAUUCUGGCCCGCAAGACAUCCGAGUUCCCCGGCAAGGGGUCUUGGGCCUGCUCUCUGCUCAGAUGGGCAGCACAGAGGAGGCCCCGGGCCUCUGUGCUCCAAGCCCUGACCCAGGUGACACGCCUCAGGUAGACUCUCCAGGGCUCUGGAGGGCGGGGGGGAGCCCAUGACCCACGGCUAGUCAUCGACCGGGAGGAGCUGGUAGGAGGGCUCAUGGAGCGAGCCCCUGCAGUCACUCCAUGUGGCUGUCCCAGGCAGGGUCCUCCUGCUCACGACCUCGCCCCCCACCCCCCGGAGGAGAAAGGGACGUGUGCUGUCCCUCGUCCCUGCCUGUGUGUGGCCAUGCGGUCACGUGUCCCAGAAUUGCCCUGUGGUCUGUGGGGUCCCCUCAGAUGGCCACGGUCUGGGCUUCCCCAGGGAAAAAAGCCAAAAGUGACAGACGGUGGGGGGGGGGCAGCCCUGCCCCUCGAGGACCCGACUGUCUGCUCUGGGUGGUGACUGGGGCUGCAGGGGAGACUGAAUCCAGCCCUGCCCGGUGGACACCAGGGCCCUGGUCCCUGCUGGCCGUGGCCAUCAUCCUCGUCACCUGUCUUUUGUCCUGGAAAAUUCUUCUUCUUUUUUUUUCAACGUUUAUUAAUUUUGAGAGAGGGAGUGAGGAGCAGAGAGUGAGUGAGUGAAUCAAAAGUCAGAUGCUUAACCAACUGAGCCACCCAGGCGCCCCCGUCCUGGAGAAUUCUGGGCGAGGCCCCGGUGGUUCAGACUCGGGCUGCCCCCAUGAGGCGGUCAGCCUGGGGGAAGGGCCAGAGUGGGCCUUCCGGUCACCAGGUGUGGCCUUAGCUCAGGCCUGGCCUACGUGCUGGUGACACGUCCCCAUGGCUGCUGGAACCCCUGCCCCACCGGGGAACUGCCACAGCCCUGUGGCCACUGGGUCCAGGUACCUCCUUGUUUUUUAAGUUUAUUUAUUUGAGAGAGAGAGAGAGAACGACACAUCAGGGGAGGCAGGAGCCAGGUCGAGAGUGUCUCCCCAGUGGACAGAAAGGGCGAAGGUGCUGGAGGGUGUGGGGUCCCGGCCCCCGCUGGUGGUGGAACCUGCCCCCUCCCCGCCCCCCACGCUCCACACCCGGCCCCAGCCAGGGCAUCCUGGGCUGGGCGCGUCUGGCUCCAGACAGGUGUGUGAGCAGGGGCAGACCCUCGCCUUGACUCCCCUCCAAAGCUGCGCAGGGGAGGGGGUUUCCCCCGGGGCAUUCCGCCAAAGGCCCGGACAGACAGCUGGGUUGAAUCCCCUGGAUCGUAGAAGCCACCUCUCCCAAACCCAGGCAGAGCAGGCUCGUCCUGGUCGGUUGGAGCAUGGGACUGAGGCACAGUAAGAACCAGACGCUCCUAAACUUCCCUGGGGGGUCACGGCUUGUCAGCCUGCACCGCGGCCACCCCGGCAGAGACGGGCUUUUCCUCUGCUGGCACUGGCUUAGUUGGUGUCGGCACACAGACCCCGCUCCAGGCUGGAGGUGGGGGGGCGGCCCGGCAGCUCGGCGCUGGGGCUGGGGCUCGCCCCCUCCGCUUGCCGGCUCGCUCGCCAACCCUGGGCCCCGCGGCUCCGCUGAGAGUGGGUCCUCAGGCGGCAGCUGGAGACUGCUGAGCUCGCCUGCCCCCCCCCAGCUCCCCCAGCCUCUGCUUCCGCCGGACCCCCUUCUGCAGCCGGACCAGCGCCCCGGGACCCUGCGGCCGGAGGGGGACUGCUGUGCACCGGGGCCAUCUGAGGCCGCGCCCCACGGGGCCCGGGGACAUCUGUGAGUCCUCGGAGGCGAGUUUGGAUCCCUUACACAGAAGGAAACUGGGUGAGUAUUUUGGUUCCGCGUCAGCGGCGGCGGACUUGGUGGCUCUCCGCGCACGUGAAUUAGGGCAGCACCGUUUCGGCUUCUGCGCGCCUCCCCUCAGUUUAAAUCGGAUGCUCCCAUCUCCUUCCUCUUUUGUCCUAAAUUUCCACCGCUUUGUGCAGCUGCACAGCAGCUGUGGCUUCCUGCUCCCGAGAAGGCUGAGGCGCGGGGUGGCUUCGCGGACUCCCCUCCUCCCGGGAGGGACGGCGGAGCCCGGCCCGGUCACGCCAGGGCGGGCGCAGCAGCUGGGGGACACUCUGUGCCGCCUGCGGGACACAGGUGAGGGCCGGGCACACACUGCCCGGAAGCGGGCCUCGGAGGCGCAGCCGGGGACGCCCAGGGAAGACCCGUGCGAGGGCGCCGGGGGCCGGGUCCGAGGCGGCGGCUACCUGCCCAGGAGAGCUCGGCAAAAGGCAGCCGCCCGUCCCCACGGACGCUGCUGGAGGGAGACGCUCCGCCACGGACACCGAACUCGCAGAGCACGGAGUGACCCUGGACACGGUCGUGCAGAAACCGUCAAGGGCCUACGGGCACGAGAACAUGCCGUCCUCAGGGUCCACCCCGAGCUGUGCCAGCAUGCCGCACCCCCGGAGGUCUGGCCACCUACCCCUGAGGUCAGGACCUGGAACAGGUCUGGGCCGCGAAGGGCCUUCCUGCCCUGUCCCGGGGCCAGCUCAUCUCCCUGACGCAGCCUCGGCCCCUGGCUUCCACACCUUCCCCAGAAGAGGGCCACCCAGAGCUCUGGCCCACCGGGGCGGUCUGGGGACGGACAUCAGGAGUCCCCCACCUUCCCGUCUGCAGCUCCUGCCAGUGGGAAACACCUGCCCCGGCUGCCCUCCCGCUCUGGGAAGAGCCUCGUGCAGCAGCAGCCCUGUCCCCUCGGGACUGUGAGUCCGGCCGCUCUGGCUUUCCUCUCCCCCGUCUUGCAGGGAAAGCUGGUCCCGGAGGGGAGGGAACACGGCACAGCACAGCGUCCAAGAAACAAGGCCCUUCAUGCGGGUCAGCUCAGGACCAUCUGACCCCAACGCGGGAAGGGUUUCAGCUUUCUACAGCGGUCUGUUUUCAAGGCAUGGACACGGGGACAGUGGCCAUGGGGGGCUCCCCUGUCCCCUCGGAGAGCACCUGGGGGAAACACCGGUGCCGGUGGGCCGGGCCAGGACCCGUCCACCCCGUCCUGCUCGGUCUCUGGGUGAACAGAAAACACGCCUGCACGCAGGGGCACACGCACGUGUGAGCGCACACGCAUGCACACACGCACGCACACCCCAGCCACGCGGCAGGCUGAAGGGGCUGCACUGCUCUGAAAUGCACACUCGCCACACGCGUGGUGCUGAGCGCGGGCUGAACCCACUCCAGGCUGUGUCAUCGGCGGGACCCUCGCGCCGCAUCCGGGAGCCUGGAGCCGCGAACAGGGGGCGGGGCUAGAACAGGGGGCGGAGCUAGUCGAGCACAAGUAAUUCCUGUUACCCUGACGUCAGUCAGGCCGUCAGGCCGUGUUGUAAAUAACGAACUCACAUUCUAUCACCCAAGGGCUGCCCCUGCCCCUGCCCUGUGCGGGAGGAGAGUUCUGGGGGUCCAGGCGGUGGGAGAAUGGAGCAGGGGUGCGGCUGGGCCGCUGUGAAGACCUGGAAACGCACCCCACCUCUGCUCACCUGAGUUGGCAGGGCGUCAGGGGGGGCCCCGGGUGCCUGGGGUCGGGGGACUCCCGGGGAGGACUCCUGACCCCAGUGAGGGCAGGCAGGUCGCCGUUCCCUGCCCUUCUGAGACCGCGGCACCCGGUGCAAAAGCCCCGAGGCCUCUCCUGGGUCCACCUGGAAGGAAGGGGCCCGCAGCCCCGGCCCGGCCUCCUGUGCCCCGGUGACCUGGACCCGGCCCCACGGUGGGGGCACCUCGCCGGCACCGCACAGGGGACGCACCUCCACCUGACUGCUCACUGCUCUUCUCCCCGUGACAUCACCGUCGGCCUGGACUGAUUGAUCUCCGCAUGAAUAUUCAUGCGGCAUUUCAGCCAGGACUAGGCAUGAAUAUUCUCAGGAAGGGGACUGGGUGGCGGUCAGCAUGCUGAUGCCCACGCGCCGGUCAGGCUUGCACAUCAGCACAUCGGCCGGCGGGCCUGUGGGCUUUUGUCUGAACACUCGCCCACGGACAGGACUGCCACUCAGAGCACCAACGAGGGAGAAAGGAGAAGAAAGCUCGCUCCCUUCCCAGAAAGGGCUGAAUCAGCACCGAACGCCCUGCCAUGCGCCAGCUCCCUCGCCCAAUCGCACGCUGGAAGCGACAGGGACCUCUCAAGAAGCUCCCAAGUCACUGCCCCUCCUGGCCGCCAUCCCCUCUGACGGCCCCUCGCACCAGCCACGGAGGAGUCAGGCCCUGGGAGUCCCUCAGCAAAGGGACAGACUGGACAGCGAGCCUGAGUGCACAGGAGUGUCCAGAGGCUCCUCCCCCUGCGUCCCGGCACCUGGCUCUGGCCCGCAGGGACCCAGCACCUGCGCCUUUGUUCAAGGAAAGUGCUUCUCCGGUUCCUCCUCCCUGUGCCUCCCUCCUCCGGUUCGCCCCCGCCCUGUGCCUCCCUUUGCUUCUGUCCUCACCCUGGCCUCCCUGCGACCUUGCCAACUGGACCAUCCUCCUGCCUGGCUUCCCUCUCCCCCACACCCACUGCCUCCGGGCCAAGCCCCAGCCCCCCCCCACCCCCCCCCAGCUCUCGGGCAGGCCAGGUUCCCAAAUCAAGGGCCCACUCGCCCCCACCUCCGACCUGUCCCAUCACCAGGGGCAGCACUGCCACCUGCAGAACCUUCCAGAUGCUCUCUGAGCCCAUCUUCUCCCACCUGGAGUCCCGCAUGAGCACCAGGGGCCCCCCCUGCCCUCCCAGCUCACUGGCUCUGGGGUCCGGUCAGACCAGCUCCGGCUCCUGGCAUUUACCAGCAUGGCCCUGGGACCUGUGCUCAGGCCAGGCUUCGUCUCCACUUGGCCCCGGCACCUGCCUCCUCGUGGCCAGCCUCCAGGCCUGUAGGUCGUUCCUUUCUUCUCGAAGAUGCCGAGCCCACUAUGAGCAGAUGCUCUGCUCUGAAGAAGACAUCUCAGCAGGAAGCCUGCUCUCCCCAGAAGCUGCCCUCACGGGUCACCCUCCCCAGCUGAGCCAGCCUCCGCCUCACGUGGUGCCCCGGGGCCCGGACCACUCUGAGUGGCAGCUCCUUAACUGAAACCUCACAUCCCACUCCUGCCGUCCACCCGCCCGGGACCCUGCAUGUUGUCCUCGAAGAGAGGGGCUGAGGGCAGGGGUGACUUCAGCCCCGAGGUGGGUGGGAGUUGGCGGGAAACCCCUCACUGGACGGCACCUCAAACCCCGAGGGCUCGCGCUCACCGAGCACCAUCACAGCCUGCUUGGUCCGCUACCUGGGAGCCACGGCACCCGGGUCAGGCCUCGGCGUCCCGCGAGGCCGGUGGCACAGCAGCGCCCCCGCCACGCAGGCCUCGGGCGCCUGGGAAGACAGCACCCCCGCUGGCCUCAAACCAGGCGAGGCCCCGGGAAGGCCGGCGUCCUGAGGCUCCGUGUGCCGGGGACCACGCCUACAGGUGCACGCCCGGCCCAGCCCCAAGGGACAAACGCCACCUCCUGAGCAGCCUCCGCCACUCUCGGGGAUGUUACCAGCUCUGCCAUCGAAAGCUACCCCCCGCAUGACUUGCAUUGUUUUCUUCUGAGAAAACCCUCCGUUCCACAAGAUUCCGGAAGCCGCAGAGAACGGCCUCCCCGUGGCACUUUCUGGCUGUCACGGCAGCUUGGAGGGAUGCCGCCCUCGUCGGUGAGCUGGGAGAAGUCAGACACGGGCGUCCCUGCACAGAAGGCAGGGAACCCUGACAAGCUGAGGGUGCUAAGUGAUCAGGCGUCUGUCAUCUUUCCGAGUGUUUGGUCACUUACGCUUUUUUUUCAGUAGGCUCCACACCCAGCGGGGCCUGAACUCACCACCCUGAGAUUUGAGACUCGCACGCUCUGCGGGCUGGGCCGGUCGGGCGCCCCGUGUGCUUUUGGUUAAACAAGAACCACGACUUUAGUUUUCAGCCAGGGUUUUCUCCGCACACACGUAUCUUCCCCUGAAGUGGGACUCACGCUGUGCUCACUUCUGUGACCUGUUUCCACUCCCCGCACGGGCGUCCCCUCGCCCUGUAAGGACCCUUCACGCCCGUCUGCUGGUGGGAGUCGGCCCUCGUGGACCCGGCCACGGCCCCCCACCGGCGCUGCCACUGUGCCUGCCAUCCUGACCGCGUCCCCAGGACUCCGAGGUCGAGGUGGGCCCGCCAAAGCCCACCACGUCUGUCCCUCCCCGGCAUCAUAGAGGACUGCUUUAACACGCUCCCAGUGUCACUCGUGACAGACGCCAUCUGCGACGUUUUCGGUUGGUUACAUCCUUAAAAACUAAAACAAGACUUUGAGCUUCAAACAAUCACUCCGUCAACAUGUUAAAAAAAUAAGUUUAAUGCAGGUGGCUCAUUUCAAUAAAGAAUUUGACAGGCACUCGA